AACGCACAUUGCGCCUCUUGGUAUUCCUUGAGGCAUGUCUGUUCGAGCGCCGUUUGACUCCUAAAGCUUAUGCUUUGUGUUGAGCUUUCUGACAAAUCUUUGCCAGAAGCUUCAAAUAUGUUUGCCUACUGUCAAAAAGCGAAAAGCAAUCAACUGCAGACCGUUUGCGACAAAGGCAUGUCAACGAUCGCAUGGCCUCGAAUCAGAUAAGGCUACCCGCUGAACUUAA
rnacentral:misc_RNA from 1 species